GUGAGGAAUAUUGCGCAAUGGAGGCAACUCUGACGCAGCCAUGCCGCGUGCAGGAAGAAGGCGCUACGCGUUGUAAACUGCUUUUAACCGGGAAGAAACCCCAGGACGUGUCCUGGGUUGACGGUACCGGAGGAAUAAGCACCGCCUAACUUCGUGCCAGCAGCCGCGGUAAUACGAAGGGUGCAAGCGUUAUCCGGAUUCAUUGGGUUUAAAGGGUGCGUAGGCGGAGCGUUAAGUCAGUGGUGAAAUCCUGCAGCUUAACUGUAGACUUGCCAUUGAUACUGGCGCUCUUGAGUGCGCUUGAAGUGGGCGGAAUGUGCCGUGUAGCGGUGAAAUGCUUAGAUAUGGCACAGAACACCAAUUGCGAAGGCAGCUCACUAAGGCGAUACUGACGCUGAGGCACGAAAGCGUGGGGAUCGAACAGGAUUAGAUACCCUAGUAGUCC
rnacentral:rRNA from 1 species